rnacentral:misc_RNA from 1 species
AAGACUAUAGACCUGCGGAGUACCUGCGGAGGGAUCAUUACCGAGUUAUCAACUCCCAAACCCCUGUGAACAUACCCGAACGUUGCCUCGGCGGGACCGCCCCGGCGCCCCUAGCGGCCCGGAACCAGGCGCCCGCCGGAGGACCCAAACUCUUGCUUUAAACAGUGGCAUACUCUCUGAGUCUCACAAACAAAAAAUAAAUCAAAACUUUCAGCAACGGAUCUCUAGAUCGGAAGAGCA